rnacentral:rRNA from 1 species
UAGGGAAUAUUGCACAAUGGGCGAAAGCCUGAUGCAGCAACGCCGCGUGCGCGACGAAGGCCUUCGGGUCGUAAAGCGCUUUUCGGGGAGACGAGGAAGGACGGUAUCCCCGGAAUAAGGCUCGGCUAACUACGUGCCAGCAGCCGCGGUAAAACGUAGGAGCCAAGCGUUAUCCGAAUUCACUGGGCGUAAAGCGCGUGCAGGCGGUCUGAUAAGUUGGGUGUGAAAGCUCCUGGCUCAACUGGGAGAGGACGUUCAAUACUGUCAGACUAGAGGGCAGCAGAGGGAGGUGGAAUUCCCGGUGUAGUGGUGAAAUGCGUAGAUAUCGGGAGGAACACCAGUGGCGAAGGCGACCUUCUGGGCUGUACCUGACGCUCAGAUGCGAAAGCUAGGGGAGCGAACGGGAUUAGAAACCCCGGUAGUCCUAGCUGUAAACGAUGUAGACUGGGUGUUGGUGGGUUAAAAGCCAUCGGUGCCGAAGCGAACGCGAUAAGUCUACCGCCUGGGGACUACGGCCGCAAGGUUA